UGGGGAAUAUUGGACAAUGGGCGCAAGCCUGAUCCAGCCAUGCCGCGUGAGUGAUGACGGCCUUAGGGUUGUAAAGCUCUUUCGCCCACGACGAUAGUGACGGUAGUGGGAGAAGAAGCCCCGGCUAACUUCGUGCCAGCAGCCGCGGUAAUACGAAGGGGGCUAGCGUUGUUCGGAUUUACUGGGCGUAAAGGGUGCGCAGGCGGGUUCAUCAGUCGGGGGUGAAAGGCCGGGGCUCAACCUCGGAACGGCCUUCGAUACUGUGGACCUUGAGUCCGGAAGAGGUGGGUGGAACUGCGAGUGUAGAGGUGAAAUUCGUAGAUAUUCGCAAGAACACCGGUGGCGAAGGCGGCCCACUGGUCCGGAACUGACGCUCAUGCACGACAGCGUGGGGAGCAAA
rnacentral:rRNA from 1 species